GCUGGGGAGUACGACCGCAAGGUUGAAACUCAAAGGAAUUGACGGGGGCCCGCACAAGCGGUGGAGCAUGUGGUUUAAUUCGAAGCAACGCGAAGAACCUUACCAGGUCUUGACAUCCUUUGACCACUCUAGAGAUAGAGCUUUCCCUUCGGGGACAAAGUGACAGGUGGUGCAUGGUUGUCGUCAGCUCGUGUCGUGAGAUGUUGGGUUAAGUCCCGCAACGAGCGCAACCCUUAUUGUUAGUUGCCAUCAUUUAGUUGGGCACUCUAGCGAGACUGCCGGUGACAAACCGGAGGAAGGUGGGGAUGACGUCAAAUCAUCAUGCCCCUUAUGACCUGGGCUACACACGUGCUACAAUGGGAAGUACAACGAGUCGCUAGGCCGCGAGGUCAUGCAAAUCUCUUAAAGCUUCUCUCAGUUCGGAUUGUAGGCUGCAACUCGCCUACAUGAAGCCGGAAUCGCUAGUAAUCGCGGAUCAGCACGCCGCGGUGAAUACGUUCCCGGGCCUUGUACACACCGCCCGUCACACCACGAAAGUUUGUAACACCCGAAGUCGGUGAGGUAACCUUUUGGAGCCAGCCGCCUAAGGUGGGAUAGAUGAUUGGGGUGAAGUCGUAACAAGGUAACCA
rnacentral:rRNA from 1 species